rnacentral:rRNA from 1 species
UACGUAGGGCGCAAGCGUUGUCCGGAAUUAUUGGGCGUAAAGAGCUCGUAGGUGGUUUGUUACGUCUGCUGUGAAAACCUAGGGCUUAACCCUGGGCCUGCAGCGGAUACGGGCAGACUAGAGGUAGGUAGGGGAGAAUGGAAUUCCCGGUGUAGCGGUGAAAUGCGCAGAUAUCGGGAGGAACACCGGUGGCGAAGGCGGUUCUCUGGGCCUUACCUGACACUGAGGAGCGAAAGCGUGGGGAGCGAACAGG